CCGACAUAUGAUAAGGAGGCCGCCGUUCCAGGCCGCGAAAGCCUAGAAAUAACGUGCUUCUUCAGCGAGUUUUUUUUAUAUUGUAUUACUGUCGCGAGAUACCGAAAGUAUCCCACACAUUACGUUAUUGUCAAGCAAAUCGGGAAAAUCGCGGAAAGCCCUAAUUGCUUGUCGCGAAUCCUAUCCCCGACUCGCCGAAUUCGCCCGGCUGCCGAUAGCGAGUCGACAGGCCCGGGAGAUUGGCACGACCGCUUGACACAGUAAGACAUCGAGAGAAAGAGGCCAAAAAGCCGAGAGAGAGGACGAGAAGGAUUUUGGGAUGGAGUUUCGAAUAGGCAACAAAGUGUGGCUAUUGCGGUUUUAUUUUCAGGGGAUCAUGUGGAAUAAUUUUGAACCAUCAUUGUUUCAAAACAUACGAUGAAACUACAAAUCUUAUAAAUGUUGACAGCAAUGCUGUGGUUAUUAUGAGAAAGAGACGUAUAUAUAUCAAACUGAAAGUGUGCAACAUAAAAAGAAGCUUGACAGUCUAAUACUCAAUCAAAACUUACAAGACCCAUAUUUUACGGUUCCUUUUGUCUUCUUGCAGUU